CUAACGGCUGCAAACGAGUGCGUGCGUGUGUGCGUGAGUGAUUUCCGUUGGGUUUUUGUAUGAGGUGAAAAAAGAAACACCGACGAUGGCCACCGCAAACGAACGAGUGUGAAAAAACCCAAAGAACCGAGACGGAAGCGUCGGAACCAAUCAGGGAAAAAAUGAAAGAGAGACAGAGAGAAUCAUCAACAAUUGGAUAGAAAAAGAAGGAAGUAAAAAAGAACAGAUACUCUCGACUAUAACCCCCUACGCUAAAGUUUGGAUGCAUCAAAGAAUCUAGUCGUCGUGGUGGCCGCCUGCCUCCAUGUAUAAUAGAAAAGUUAAAGGAAAUCAAUACAAACCUGAUCGAGAAGAGCCUGCUGCCAAGUUCUGAAGAGGACAACGUAGGUUUUGUCACGCGCCCCAAAAGAACAGAAAAAAUGCUUAUCCGCCUCGGUGCAGAUCUGGAUUGCAUUGGGGAUCACCAGGGCAGUCUUUUCUUUUGUCAGUGAAGACACUUCUUUCCAUCGGAGUUGCACCUUUUUGAACAAAAAAAAAUGGAAUAGUAAAGAUCCGACGCCACAGAAUUUGAUAAAAUCGAUAAACAGCAAAUUGAUUUUUUUUCUUUUCUUUUUACUUAAAAAGAAUUUAUUUUUAUACCAGCGUCUCCCAGCGGAAAAUGUUCGCGUAGAAGCAGAGGUAAUUCUGCGUCACAUAAAUGCGACCCUGCAGUAAAAUGUCGCGUUGCAGGGCGCAUGAAUAAUCGACAAUCAAUCGCUCGUCGACCGGCAAAUCUUUGAAAAUCCUUUUGAAAUCCUCGCAACGGGAGCGGUACGUCGGAUUCAACAUUUGGUACCAGG